UCCCCGGAAAUCGACCUGGGCGCCCUCACGGGCUUAAUAGGGAAUCCCGUUCAAAUCGGGAGCGGUCCCGCCGCCGUCAGUUCCACGCAAAGGUCGGCCUCCACGCGCGCCACUGGGAAGCACUUCUCGGGAAGGCCGGGGCCGAUGGAACAAGCCGGAAGACCUGCCCGGGUUCUGGCACAUCC
rnacentral:ncRNA from 2 species